rnacentral:tRNA from 2 species
CGGGGCGUAGCGCAGUCUGGCUAGCGCGUCUGCCUUGGGCGCAGAAGGUCGUAGGUUCGAAUCCUAUCGCCCCGACCA